AUUCCGGUUGAUCCUGCCGGAGGCCAUUGCUAUCGGAGUCCGAUUUAGCCAUGCUAGUCGCCCGAGUUUAGACUCGUGGCGAAAAGCUCAGUGACACGUGGCCAAACUACCCUAUGGACGGAACUAACCUCGGGAAACUGAGGCUAAUGUCCGAUACGGCUCUCACGCUGGAACGCCGAGAGCCGGAAACGCCCCGGCGCCAUAGGAUGUGGCUGCGGCCGAUUAGGUUGACGGUGGGGUAACGGCCCACCGUGCCAAUAAUCGGUAUGGGUCAUGAGAGUGAGAACCCAGAGACGGUAUCUGAGACAAGAUACCGGGCCCUACGGGGCGCAGCAGGCGCGAAACCUUUACACUGCACGACAGUGCGAUAAGGGGACUCCGAGUGCGAGGGCAUACAGUCCUCGCUUUUCUGUACCGUAGGGUGGUACAGGAACAAGUGCUGGGCAAGACCGGUGCCAGCCGCCGCGGUAAUACCGGCAGCACGAGUGAUGGCCGAUAUUAUUGGGCCUAAAGCGUCCGUAGCU
rnacentral:rRNA from 1 species